rnacentral:rRNA from 1 species
CCUACGGGAGGCAGCAGUGAGGAAUAUUGGUCAAUGGGCGGGAGACUGAACCAGCCAAGCCGCGUGAGGGAUGAAGGUACAGAGUAUCGUAAACCUCUUUUGUCAGGGAACAAAGGCGGGGACGUGUCCCCGGAUGAGUGUACCUGAAGAAAAAGCAUCGGCUAACUCCGUGCCAGCAGCCGCGGUAAUACGGAGGAUGCGAGCGUUAUCCGGAUUUAUUGGGUUUAAAGGGUGCUCAGGCGGUCUGUUAAGUCAGCGGUAAAAGCCCGGGGCUCAACCCCGGCCCGCCGUUGAAACUGGCAGUCUCGAGUUGGAGAGAAGUAUGCGGAAUGCGCGGUGUAGCGGUGAAAUGCAUAGAUAUCGCGCAGAACUCCGAUUGCGAAGGCAGCAUGCCGGCUCCACACUGACGCUGAGGCACGAAAGCGUGGGUAUCGAACAGGAUAGAUACCCUUGUAGUC